rnacentral:rRNA from 1 species
ACGAUGAUAGCUUGAAUCAGGCGUCGAGCGGCGGACGGGUGAGUAAUACUUAGGAAUCUACCUAGUAGUGGGGGAUAGCACGGGGAAACUCGUAUUAAUACCGCAUACGACCUACGGGAGAAAGGGGGCAGUUUACUGCUCUCGCUAUUAGAUGAGCCUAAGUCGGAUUAGCUAGAUGGUGGGGUAAAGGCCUACCAUGGCGACGAUCUGUAGCUGGUCUGAGAGGAUGAUCAGCCACACCGGGACUGAGACACGGCCCGGACUCCUACGGGAGGCAGCAGUGGGGAAUAUUGGACAAUGGGGGAAACCCUGAUCCAGCCAUGCCGCGUGUGUGAAGAAGGCCUUUUGGUUGUAAAGCACUUUAAGCAGUGAAGAAGACUCCUCGGUUAAUACCCGUGGACGAUGACAUUAGCUGCAGAAUAAGCACCGGCUAACUCUGUGCCAGCAGCCGCGGUAAUACAGAGGGUGCAAGCGUUAAUCGGAAUUACUGGGCGUAAAGGGAGCGUAGGUGGCUCGAUAAGUCAGAUGUGAAAUCCCCGGGCUCAACCUGGGAACUGCAUCUGAUACUGUUGAGCUAGAGUAUGUGAGAGGAAGGUAGAAUUCCAGGUGUAGCGGUGAAAUGCGUAGAGAUCUGGAGGAAUACCGAUGGCGAAGGCAGCCUUCUGGCAU